rnacentral:rRNA from 1 species
UACGUAGGGUGCAAGCGUUGUCCGGAAUUAUUGGGCGUAAAGAGCUCGUAGGCGGUUUGUCGCGUCUGCUGUGAAAACGCGAGGCUCAACCUCGCGCCUGCAGUGGGUACGGGCAGACUGGAGUGCGGUAGGGGAGACUGGAAUUCCUGGUGUAGCGGUGAAAUGCGCAGAUAUCAGGAGGAACACCGGUGGCGAAGGCAGAUCUCUGGGCCGUAACUGACGCUGAGGAGCGAAAGCCAGGGGAGCAAACGGG